GACGAACGCUGGCGGCGUGCUUAACACAUGCAAGUCGAACGGAAAGGCCCUGCUUUUGUGGGGUGCUCGAGUGGCGAACGGGUGAGUAACACGUGAGUAACCUGCCCUUGACUUUGGGAUAACUUCAGGAAACUGGGGCUAAUACCGGAUAGGAGCUCCUGCUGCAUGGUGGGGGUUGGAAAGUUUCGGCGGUUGGGGAUGGACUCGCGGCUUAUCAGCUUGUUGGUGGGGUAGUGGCUUACCAAGGCUUUGACGGGUAGCCGGCCUGAGAGGGUGACCGGCCACAUUGGGACUGAGAUACGGCCCAGACUCCUACGGGAGGCAGCAGUGGGGAAUAUUGCGCAAUGGGCGGAAGCCUGAGGCAGCAACGCCGCGUGCGGGAUGACGGCCUUCGGGUUGUAAACCGCUUUCGCCGGUGACGAAGCGUGAGUGACGGUAAUGGGUAAAGAAGCACCGGCUAACUACGUG
rnacentral:rRNA from 1 species